GACAGGGUUUCUCUGUAUUGUUUUGGUUCCUGUCCUAGAACUCAGUCUGUAGACCAGGCUGGCCUCAAAUUCACAGAGAUCUGCCUGCCUCUGCCUCCUGAGUGCUGGGACUAAAGGCAGGCACUUUGGCAACUGCACCACCUCCUCAACUCCUACUGUCAUCAUAGUACCUUCAUCCAGUAACUGAUGGAAGCAAAUGCAAAGAUCCUCAUCCAAGCACCAGGCUAAGCUACAGCUGUCCAGUCGAAGAGAAAGAAGGAUUAUAUGAGCAAAGAGGGUCAAGAUCAUGAUGGGGAAACUCACAGAGACAGUGGACCUGAACUUGCUGGAGCUCACGGACUCAUUGAACUAUAUACUGAAUGCAGAGACUGAUUUGUGGAAAGUUGGUGUCAUGAUAUUAUUGAAUCAUGUGAAUAACGUGAGCAUCAUGUGGCUGGGCCCAAUCCCAGGAUGCAUUAUUUAGAUUCUAUCCCUGAUGACAUCCAAUAAACCAAUCUUAAGGAAAGGAAUGACUUGUAAUGAUGUGUACUUACAUGCUAAGAAGAAAUCAAGGAUAACUUAGCUAGAAGGGAAUGCUGCGAUGUAACUGCGAUGUAAUUACUGUUGAUGAAUCCCAGUAACAUGGAAACUGCCUUUCUAGGUAUCUCAUUGU
rnacentral:lncRNA from 1 species